UGCAAGUCGAGCGGAAAGGCCACUUCGGUGGUACUCGAGCGGCGAACGGGUGAGUAACACGUGAGUAAUCUGCCCUCCACUUUGGGAUAGCCACCGGAAACGGUGAUUAAUACCGGAUAUGACCUCGCAUCGCAUGGUGUGUGGUGGAAAGUUUUUCGGUGGGGGAUGUGCUCGCGGCCUAUCAGCUUGAUGGUGGGGUAAUGGCCUACCAUGGCUUCGACGGGUAGCCGGCCUGAGAGGGUGACCGGCCACACUGGGACUGAGACACGGCCCAGACUCCUACGGGAGGCAGCAGUGGGGAAUAUUGGACAAUGGGCGGAAGCCUGAUCCAGCAACGCCGCGUGAGGGAUGACGGCCUUCGGGUUGUAAACCUCUUUCAGCACAGACGAAGCGAAAGUGACGGUAUGUGCAGAAGAAGCACCGGCCAACUACGUGCCAGCAGCCGCGGUAAUACGUAGGGUGCGAGCGUUGUCCGGAAUUAUUGGGCGUAAAGGGCUCGUAGGCGGUUUGUCGCGUCGGGAGUGAAAACACACAGCUUAACUGUGUGCUGGCUUCCGAUACGGGCAGACUAGAGGUAUGCAGGGGAGAACGGAAUUCCUGGUGUAGCGGUGAAAUGCGCAGAUAUCAGGAGGAACACCGGUGGCGAAGGCGGUUCUCUG
rnacentral:rRNA from 1 species